CGUGUAGGCGGCCCACUAAGUCUGAUGUGAAAGCCCGGGGCUCACCCCCGGAAGUGCAUUGGAAACUGGUGGACUCGAGUCCCGGAGAGGAGAGUGGAAUUCCUGGUGUAGCGGUGAAAUGCGUAGAUAUCAGGAGGAACACCGGUGGCGAAGGCGGCUCUCUGGACGGUGACUGACGCUGAGACGCGAAAGCGUGGGAGCAAACA
rnacentral:rRNA from 1 species